CUAACCUUCUCUCCACCCACAGGCUCUCCACCUCCAAGCGCCGUUUCCAUACGUCUAACCCCGCUCCGCCAUCUUUUCUCAAUCCAUCUCCUUCUACGGCGCCGCUGCAAGAUCUGAAACCAUAGUCAGAGAAGGGAAAGCCGUCGCCGCCGCCGCCGAUCCACCAUUCGCAAAUCCACAUGAUUUCGGACCACGAUCCGCCGCAAGCGCCGCUUUUCGUUCGACGGAGAAGAUGAAGAACGGUGUCGCAUCAAUGGUGUCGGACAUGUUCAAACACCAUAGAUCCGUCCUCUUCCGGCAGAUCCGUUCGCCUUGGAUCCCUCCAAUCGCCGCCGCUACAGUCGACAACGGAUCCGCCUCCUUAUAUUUUACCGAUUGCUAGUUUAUAUCUAUUUUAUGUUUCUAUAGCUGUAGUUCAACACAAAUUUUACUCAGUCUAAUAUGUGUUCAUGUCUGAAUAAGAUAUGGCGCAUGAGGAACAAUGGUACAACUGUGUGGGCCCAGAAAACACAACUUGUUUGAAUUGGGGGAUAAUUGAGCAAUGAGCUUUCUGUUGAAGUACAGGUGAGUGAUCUUUCUUGGCAUUAUUUCUAUGUAAUUUCUAAUGCACCUAAUUAUGUAGUCUGAUUUUGCUUCCAAUGAAUUUGACAAGAGUUAGACUUUUUAUGCAUAAUAUCUGCCUCUGAUUGGUUCCAUAUUUUGGCAUAUUCCUGAAGAUGGUUUGAUGAUGGAUCAGGAGCUUGAUGUUGUAGGUGAUUUCAUUUCCCCAGAGCUUCCAGGUCAAUAUGUUUCUUAGUGGAGAGAAUGUCACUUUGCUUCAUCCUAAUAUCAUUUUUUUUUUGGUUUGUUUUUAAUUGGAUGUGUGAAUUCAGGCUCACUCAAGCAGACCGUGACUACCAAUUUGUUUGCAGGUGGUGGCUUUUUUGGUUGCUCGAGAAAGGGAUUGUGUUUGAACAACUCCUAUGCACUAAGUUUUUGACGAGAGAAUAUGUUGAAUUUGAAGCUAACUACAAACUACACAAUACAUGACUAUACAUGUAUAGUCACAUGUGGUCGGUCAUAUACAUUGGGUCACAUAUAGUCACAUGCAGUCCUAUACAUGUAGUCAUAUAUAGUCACAUGAUGUCAUAUAGAUGUAGUCGUAUAUAGUCACGUUUAGUAAAAAUUAGUAAUAUACAGAUAUAUAUAAGCUAUGUGUUUUUUUCUGAUGUAUAGUGAUGUUGAUGAUUGUGUUUUUACAUUAUUUUGUUGGUUACUAAUUGAUUUAUAAUAUCAAGGUUCAAAUUGUGAAUUUUGUUGUUGGUGUAGAUGAA
rnacentral:lncRNA from 1 species